rnacentral:rRNA from 1 species
CAGCCGCCGCGGUAAUACGUAGGUGGCAAGCGUUGUCCGGAAUUAUUGGGCGUAAAGCGCGCGCAGGCGGUUUCUUAAGUCUGAUGUGAAAGCCCCCGGCUUAACCGGGGAGGGUCAUUGGAAACUGGGAGACUUGAGUGCAGGAGAGGGAAGCGGAAUUCCAUGUGUAGCGGUGAAAUGCGUAGAGAUAUGGAGGAACACCAGUGGCGAAGGCGGCUUCCUGGCCUGUAACUGACGCUGAGGCGCGAAAGCGUGAGGAGCAAACAGGAUUAGAUACCCUGGUAGUCCACGCCGUAAACGAUGAGUGCUAAGUGUUAGGGGGUUUCCACCCCUUAGUGCUGCAGCUAACGCAUUAAGCACUCCGCCUGGGGAGUACGGUCGCAAGACUGAAACUUAAAGGAAUUGGCGGG